AGCGAACGCUGGCGGCAGGCCUAACACAUGCAAGUCGAACGAAGUCUUCGGACUUAGUGGCGAACGGGUGAGUAACACGUGGGAACGUGCCUUUAGGUUCGGAAUAACUCAGGGAAACUUGUGCUAAUACCGAAUGUGCCCUUCGGGGGAAAGAUUUAUCGCCUUUAGAGCGGCCCGCGUCUGAUUAGCUAGUUGGUGAGGUAAAGGCUCACCAAGGCCACGAUCAGUAGCUGGUCUGAGAGGAUGACCAGCCACAUUGGGACUGAGACACGGCCCAAACUCCUACGGGAGGCAGCAGUGGUGAAUCUUGCGCAAUGGGCGAAAGCCUGACGCAGCCAUGCCGCGUGGAUGAUGAAGGUCUUAGGAUUGUAAAAUCCUUUCGCCGACGAAGAUAAUGACGGUAGUCGGAGAAGAAGCCCCGGCUAACUUCGUGCCAGCCGCCGCCGUAAUAC
rnacentral:rRNA from 1 species